rnacentral:rRNA from 1 species
UACGAAGGGGGCGAGCGUUGUUCGGAAUUACUGGGCGUAAAGGGCGCGCAGGCGGCUCAGACAGUCAGAUGUGAAAGCCCCGGGCUUAACCUGGGAACUGCAUUUGAUACUACUGAGCUUGAGUACGGGAGAGGAUAGUGGAAUUCCCAGUGUAGAGGUGAAAUUCGUAGAUAUUCGCAAGAACACCAGUGGCGAAGGCGGCUCACUGGCCCGAUACUGACGCUGAGGCACGAAAGCGUGGGGAGCAAACGGG